UACGUAGGGGGCAAGCGUUGUCCGGAUUUACUGGGUGUAAAGGGUGCUCAGGCGGAUUAGUAAGUCAGAGGUGAAACCCCGAAGCUUAACUUCGGAACUGCCUUUGAUACUGCUAGUCUAGAGUUUGGGAGAGGCGAGUGGAAUGUCUGGUGUAGCAGUGAAAUGCGUAGAUAUCAGACAGAACACCAAUGGCGAAGGCAGCUCGCUGGUCCAAUACUGACGCUAAAGCACGAAAGCGUGGGGAGCAAAC
rnacentral:rRNA from 1 species